rnacentral:rRNA from 1 species
UACGGAGGGGGCUAGCGUUGUUCGGAAUUACUGGGCGUAAAGCGCACGUAGGCGGCUUUGUAAGUUAGAGGUGAAAGCCCGGGGCUCAACUCCGGAAUUGCCUUUAAGACUGCAUCGGCUAGAAUUGUGGAGAGGUAAGUGGAAUUCCGAGUGUAGAGGUGAAAUUCGUAGAUAUUCGGAAGAACACCAGUGGCGAAGGCGGGUCACUGGGCCGAUACUGACGCUGAGGAGCGAAAGCGUGGGGAGCGAACAGG